rnacentral:snoRNA from 1 species
AGGGGUGAUGAUAAACCGACAAAUCUAGGGAUUCCUCUUUCCGAAUAUACUAUGUGGAUUUGUUUAGUUUCAGCCUUGUCUGACC